AGUUUGAUCAUGGCUCAGAUUGAACGCUGGCGGCAUGCCUUACACAUGCAAGGUCGAACGGCAGCACGGGAGCUUGCUCCUGGUGGCGAGUGGCGAACGGGUGAGUAAUACAUCGGAACGUACCCUGAAGUGGGGGAUAACGUAGCGAAAGUUACGCUAAUACCGCAUAUUCUGUGAGCAGGAAAGAGGGGGAUCGCAAGACCUCUUGCUUUAGGAGCGGCCGAUGUCGGAUUAGCUAGUUGGUGAGGUAAAGGCUCACCAAGGCGACGAUCCGUAGCGGGUCUGAGAGGAUGAUCCGUCACACUGGGACUGAGACACGGCCCAGACUCCUACGGGAGGCAGCAGUGGGGAAUUUUGGACAAUGGGCGCAAGCCUGAUCCAGCCAUGCCGCGUGAGUGAAGAAGGCCUUCGGGUUGUAAAGCUCUUUCGGUGGGGAAGAAAUUGCUUCGGUUAAUACCUGGAGUAGAUGACGGUACCCGCAUAAGAAGCACCGGCUAACUACGUG
rnacentral:rRNA from 1 species